AAGUCGUAACAAGGUUUCCGUAGGUGAACCUGCGGAAGGAUCACUAGUGAUUAAAUCGAGAGCGUCUUCAUUGACCUCUCACCCUUCACAUCCACAUACACCUGUGCACCGUUUGGCUCUUAUAAAAGACGCAAGUCUGCAAUGAGAGUCAUCAAUUUUAUACAUACCCCAGUCUUAUGAAUGUAACAGUUUUAAUAAACAUAAUAAAACUUUUAACAACGGAUCUCUUGGUUCUC
rnacentral:misc_RNA from 1 species